CAUCUCUUCGGAGCAUUUUACGAGGUGCUGCAUGGUUGUCGUCAGCUCGUGCCGUGAGGUGUCGGGUUAAGUCCCAUAACGAGCGCAACCCUACCUUAGUUGCCAUCAGGUAAUGCUGGGGACUCUAAAGGAACUGCCUACGCAAGUAGUGAGGAAGGCGGGGAUGACGUCAAAUCAGCACGGCCCUUACGUCCAGGGCUACACACGUGCUACAAUGGCCGAUACAGAGGGCAGCUACCUGGUGACAGGAUGCAAAUCUCCAAAGUCGGUCUCAGUUCGGAUCGGAGUCUGCAACCCGACUCCGUGAAGUUGGAUUCGCUAGUAAUCGCGCAUCAGCCAUGGCGCGGUGAAUACGUUCCCGGGCCUU
rnacentral:rRNA from 1 species